CCUACGGGGUGCAGCAGUGGGGAAUAUUGGGCAAUGGGCGCAAGCCUGACCCAGCAACGCCGCGUGAAGGAAGAAGGCUUUCGGGUUGUAAACUUCUUUUGACAGGGAAGAGUAGAAGACGGUACCUGUCGAAUAAGCCAAGGCUAACUACGUGCCAGCAGCCGCGGUAAUACGUAAGUGGCAAGCGUUGUCCGGAUUUACUGGGUGGAAAGGGCGGGUAGCGGGGUGUACCAGUCAGAUGGUCAAUCCUGCGGCUUAACCGAAGAACUGCAUUUGAAACUGUUGCUCUUGAGUACUGGAGCGCCAGCCGGGCUUCCUAGUGUAGCGGUGAAAUGCGUCGAUAUUAGGAGGAACCCCCGUGGCGCCGGCGGUCUGCUGGACCGCAACUGACGGUGCGGCGCGAACGCGUGGGGAGCAAACAGGAUUAGAUACCCGGGUAGUC
rnacentral:rRNA from 1 species